rfam:Gossypium hirsutum cultivar TM-1 chromosome 19, whole genome shotgun sequence
UGUUAAAAAUUUAAUUCAUUUGUACUAUUAAAAACUGUCGUGACUGACAAAAUAACUAAAUAAUGACACACGGCUUGUCAUGUGUGUUGAUAUAUAAAGACCAAUUUUUCAUAAUAAAAAUGAAUGAAAUUUUUAAGA